rnacentral:rRNA from 1 species
GCAUGUCUAAGUAUAAGCACUUUAUACUGUGAAACUGCGAAUGGCUCAUUAAAUCAGUUAUCGUUUAUUUGAUAGUACCUUACUACAUGGAUACCUGUGGUAAUUCUAGAGCUAAUACAUGCUAAAAACCUCGACUUCGGAAGGGGUGUAUUUAUUAGAUAAAAAACCAACGCCCUUCGGGGCUCCUUGGUGAAUCAUAAUAACUAAGCGAAUCGCAUGGCCUUGCGCCGGCGAUGGUUCAUUCAAAUUUCUGCCCUAUCAACUUUCGAUGGUAGGAUAGUGGCCUACCAUGGUGGCAACGGGUAACGGGGAAUUAGGGUUCGAUUCCGGAGAGGGAGCCUGAGAAACGGCUACCACAUCCAAGGAAGGCAGCAGGCGCGCAAAUUACCCAAUCCCGACACGGGGAGGUAGUGACAAUAAAUACUGAUACGGGGCUCUUUUGGGUCUCGUAAUUGGAAUGAGUACAAUCUAAAUCCCUUAACGAGGAACAAUUGGAGGGCAAGUCUGGUGCCAGCAGCCGCGGUAAUUCCAGCUCCAAUAGCGUAUAUUAAAGUUGUUGCAGUUAAAAAGCUCGUAGUUGAACCUUGGGUCUGGCUGGCCGGUCCGCCUCACCGCGAGUACUGGUCCGGCUGGACCUUUCCUUCUGGGGAACCUCAUGGCCUUCACUGGCUGUGGGGGGAACCAGGACUUUUACUGUGAAAAAAUUAGAGUGUUCAAAGCAGGCCUUUGCUCGAAUACAUUAGCAUGGAAUAAUAGAAUAGGACGUGCGGUUCUAUUUUGUUGGUUUCUAGGACCGCCGUAAUGAUUAAUAGGGAUAGUCGGGGGCGUCAGUAUUCAGCUGUCAGAGGUGAAAUUCUUGGAUUUGCUGAAGACUAACUACUGCGAAAGCAUUCGCCAAGGAUGUUUUCAUUAAUCAGGGAACGAAAGUUAGGGGAUCGAAGACGAUCAGAUACCGUCGUAGUCUUAACCAUAAACUAUGCCGACUAGGGAUCGGGCGGUGUUUCUAUAAUGACCCGCUCGGCACCUUACGAGAAAUCAAAGUUUUUNGNUNNNUGGGGGG